rnacentral:rRNA from 1 species
UACGGAGGGUGCAAGCGUUAUCCGGAUUCACUGGGUUUAAAGGGUGCGUAGGCGGGUAUAUAAGUCAGUGGUGAAAGCUCCGGGCUUAACUUGGAAACUGCCAUUGAUACUGUAUAUCUUGAAUGUCGUUGAGGUUAGCGGAAUGUUGCAUGUAGCGGUGGAAUGCUUAGAUAUGUUACAGAACACCAAUUGUGAAGACAGCUAACUAAGCGAUGAUUGACGCUGAGGCACGAAAGCGUGGGGAGCAAACAGG